UACGUAGGGUGCGAGCGUUAAUCGGAAUUACUGGGCGUAAAGCGUGCGCAGGCGGUUUUGUAAGCCAGAUGUGAAAUCCCCGGGCUUAACCUGGGAAUGGCAUUUGGGACUGCAAGGCUCGAGUGCGGCAGAGGAGACUGGAAUUCCUGGUGUAGCAGUGAAAUGCGUAGAUAUCGGAAGGAACAUCAGUGGCGAAAGCGACUUCCUGGACCAGUACCGACGUUCAGGCACGAAAGCGUGGGGAGCAAACAGG
rnacentral:rRNA from 1 species